AACGAACGCUGGCGGCAGGCUCAACACAUGCAAGUCGAACGCAUCCUUCGGGGUGAGUGGCAGACGGGUGAGUAACGCGUGGGAACGUGCCCUUCAGUUCGGGAUAACCCAGGGAAACUUGGGCUAAUACCGGAUACGUGCGAGAGAAGAAAGAUUUAUCGCUGAAGGAUCGGCCCGCGUCUGAUUAGCUAGUUGGUGAGGUAAUGGCUCACCAAGGCGACGAUCAGUAGCUGGUCUGAGAGGAUGAUCAGCCACAUUGGGACUGAGACACGGCCCAAACUCCUACGGGAGGCAGCAGUGGGGAAUAUUGGACAAUGGGCGCAAGCCUGAUCCAGCCAUGCCGCGUGAGUGAUGAAGGCCUUAGGGUUGUAAAGCUCUUUCGGCGGGGACGAUAAUGACGGUACCCGCAGAAGAAGCCCCGGCUAACUUCGUGCCAGCAGCCGCGGUAAAAC
rnacentral:rRNA from 1 species